CGCCCGCCGCGCGCGGCGGGCGGGCGGGGGCACGGGGGGCCUACGGGAGCAGCAGUGGGGAAUUUUGGACAAUGGGGGAAACCCUGAUCCAGCCAUUCCGCGUGUGCGAUGAAGGCCUUCGGGUUGUAAAGCACUUUUGGCAGGAAAGAAAUCGCAUGGGUUAAUAACCUGUGUGGAUUACGGUACCUGCAGAAUAAGCACCGGCUAACUACGUGCCAGCAGCCGCGGUAAUA
rnacentral:rRNA from 1 species